GGGACACGUGGUAUCCUGUCUGAAUAUGGGGGGACCAUCCUCCAAGGCUAAAUACUCCUGACUGACCGAUAGUGAACCAGUACCGUGAGGGAAAGGCGAAAAGAACCCCGGCGAGGGGAGUGAAAAAGAACCUGAAACCGUGUACGUACAAGCAGUGGGAGCAUGCUUAGGCGUGUGACUGCGUACCUUUUGUAUAAUGGGUCAGCGACUUAUAUUCUGUAGCAAGGUUAACCGAAUAGGGGAGCCGAAGGGAAACCGAGUCUUAACUGGGCGUUAAGUUGCAGGGUAUAGACCCGAAACCCGGUGAUCUAGCCAUGGGCAGGUUGAAGGUUGGGUAACACUAACUGGAGGACCGAACCGACUAAUGUUGAAAAAUUAGCGGAUGACUUGUGGCUGGGGGUGAAAGGCCAAUCAAACCGGGAGAUAGCUGGUUCUCCCCGAAAGCUAUUUAGGUAGCGCCUCGUGAACUCAUCUCCGGGGGUAGAGCACUGUUUCGGCAAGGGGGUCAUCCCGACUUACCAACCCGAUGCAAACUGCGAAUACCGGAGAAUGUUAUCACGGGAGACACACGGCGGGUGCUAACGUCCGUCGUGAAGAGGGAAACAACCCAGACCGCCAGCUAAGGUCCCAAAGUCAUGGUUAAGUGGGAAACGAUGUGGGAAGGCCCAGACAGCCAGGAUGUUGGCUUAGAAGCAGCCAUCAUUUAAAGAAAGCGUAAUAGCUCACUGGUCGAGUCGGCCUGCGCGGAAGAUGUAACGGGGCUAAACCAUGCACCGAAGCUGCGGCAGCGACGCUUAUGCGUUGUUGGGUAGGGGAGCGU
rnacentral:rRNA from 1 species